rnacentral:lncRNA from 1 species
GAAGAAGGGGCCGGCCUUCAAGCAAGAGCGACGCAAGAUGGCAGCCACCACGGGCUCGGGAGUAAAAGUCCCUCGCAAUUUCCGACUGUUGGAAGAACUCGAAGAAGGCCAGAAAGGAGUAGGAGAUGGCACAGUUAGCUGGGGUCUAGAAGAUGACGAAGACAUGACACUUACAAGAUGGACAGGGAUGAUAAUUGGGCCUCCAAGAUUUCAGUUUAUAUAUUUGAACCUCCUCUGAUGCUGUUUAACCCCUCUAAAUGAAUUUUCUGCGUCUGCUAAAUACCGGGGAAAACCCAAUCUAGAAAUCCUGUUUCUCCAUGGAGAUAAUUUUCUUUGCUGUCUCUGAAGGUCCAUCAUAUGCUGACAUCUUCUUCACUGCAUGUCUUCUCUUCCUAAGAAUGAUUUCGGUUUCUUGAGGAUGAGAACUGUGCUUCCCUCCUUACUUCCCAGAAUACCUAGAAAUGACUCAGAAUGGGGUACUCAGUAGAUUUGUUAAUCAACUUACUGAUUUACAGGUUCUAAAAUACUGAGAAUUGAACCAAUGUACAACAUUGCGAUACACUAAAUACCACUGAAUUGUACACUUUCAAAAAAACACACAAAACAAUGCAUCAGUAAAUUCUGCUGAAAAUAUUCUGUCUGCCUAAAACAGCUUGGGCUACCCUGAAUUUCAGUUUAUCUCUUUCCAAAAGAGGCUUUGGAAGUUGUAAUGCGUAGCUACGGUAUGC